rnacentral:rRNA from 1 species
CGUCUAUAUACGUAUAGCAUAUCAAUAAGCGGAGGAAAAGAAACUAACAAGGAUUCCCUUAGUAACGGCGAGUGAAGCGGGAAGAGCUCAAAUUUGAAAUCUUCAAGGUUCUACCUUGACGAAUUGUAGUUUAUAAGAAGUGUUUUCUGUUAGUGGAGUGGCAAAAGUUCUUUGGAAUAGGACAUCAUAGAGGGUGAGAAUCCCGUAUUUGGUCAUUCCUCUAGCUUUGUGAUACACUUUCAACGAGUCGGAUUGUUUGGGAAUGCAGUCCAAAAUGGGUGGUAAAUUUCAUCUAAAGCUAAAUAUUGGCGAGAGACCGAUAGCGAACAAGUACCGUGAGGGAAGGAUGAAAAGAACUUUGAAAAGAGAGUUAAACAGUACGUGAAAUUGUCAAAAGGGAAGCGUUUGACACCAGUGUUGUUUUUCCGAAAAUCAAUUACAAAGGGUUAUUUUUGUAGGAGUUAUGACUUCAUCAGCUUUCUGCACUUUCUUUAUGAUCUUUCUUAAUGCACUUUUCGUUUAACAAGUCAACAUCAAUUUCUUUUGUUGUAAAAGGGUAUGAGGAAGGUGGCUUUCUUUUCGGAGAAAGUGUUUAUAGCCUUGUGCCUCUACAAUCGGAGAGAUUGAGGUCUGCAGCGUAGAUCCUUCGGGGUUAGAUACGUUUGUGCUAAGUUAUAGCUUUUCAUAGACAACUUGUUGACUAUGUUUAGUCAUGUCGCUUACUCGCUGAUGCUAUUUUACCUACGCUUAGGAUGUUGACUGAUAUGUAGUCGUA